rnacentral:rRNA from 1 species
AAUCAACGCUGGCGGCGUGCCUCAGACAUGCAAGUCGAACGAUUAAAGCUCUCUUCGGAGAGUGCAUAGAGUGGCGUACGGGAGAGUAACACGUAAGUAAUCUACCCUCGGGUGGGGAAUAACUUAAGGAAACUUAAGCUAAUACCGCAUAAUGCAGCGGCUCCAUAUGGGGACAGUUGUUAAAGCAUUUAUGCGCCUGGGGAGGAGCUUGCGGCAGAUUAGCUAGUUGGUAAGGUAACGGCUUACCAAGGCAACGAUCUGUAGCCGGUCUAAGAGGACGGUCGGUCUCACUGACACUGAAUAACGGGUCAGACUCCUACGGGAGGCAGCAGUCGGGAAUUUUGGGCAAUGGGCGAAAGCCUGACCCAGCAACGCCGCGUGAAGGAUGAAGUCUUUCGGGAUGUAAACUUCGGAAAUAUGGGAAGAAUAAAUGACGGUACCAUAUCUAAGGUCCGGCUAACUACGCGCCAGCAGCCGCGGUAAUACGUAGGGACCAAGCGUUGUUCGGAUUUACUGGGCGUAAAGGGUACGUAGGCGGCGCUGCAAGUCAAUUGUGAAAUCUCCGGGCUUAACUCGGAACGGCCAAUUGAUACUGCAGUGC